GACGAACGCUGGUUGCGUGCUUAACACAUGCAAGUCGAACGGAAAGGCCCUGCUUUUGUGGGGUGCUCGAGUGGCGAACGGGUGAGUAACACGUGAGUAACCUGCCCUUGACUUUGGGAUAACUUCAGGAAACUGGGGCUAAUACCGGAUAGGAGCUCCUGCUGCAUGGUGGGGGUUGGAAAGUUUCGGCGGUUGGGGAUGGACUCGCGGCUUAUCAGCUUGUUGGUGGGGUAGUGGCUUACCAAGGCUUUGACGGGUAGCCGGCCUGAGAGGGUGACCGGCCACAUUGGGACUGAGAUACGGCCCAGACUCCUACGGGAGGCAGCAGUGGGGAAUAUUGCACAAUGGGCGGAAGCCUGAUGCAGCAACGCCGCGUGCGGGAUGACGGCCUUCGGGUUGUAAACCGCUUUCGCCUGUGACGAAGCGUGAGUGACGGUAAUGGGUAAAGAAGCACCGGCUAACUAUGUGCCAGCAGCCGCGGUGAUACGUAGGGUGCGAGCGUUGUCCGGAUUUAUUGGGCGUAAAGGGCUCGUAGGUGGUUGAUCGCGUCGGAAGUGUAAUCUUGGGGCUUAACCCUGAGCGUGCUUUCGAUACGGGUUGACUUGAGGAAGGUAGGGGAGAAUGGAAUUCCUGGUGGAGCGGUGGAAUGCGCAGAUAUCAGGAGGAACACCAGUGGCGAAGGCGGUUCUCUGGGCCUUUCCUGACGCUGAGGAGCGAAGCGUGGGGAGCGAACAGGCUUAGAUACCCUGGUAGUCCACGCUGUAAACGGUGGGUACUAGGUGUGGGGUCCAUUCCACGGGUUCCGUGCCGUAGCUAACGCUUUAAGUACCCCGCCUGGGGAGUACGGCCGCAAGGCUAAAACUCAAAGGAAUUGACGGGGCCCCGCACAAGCGGCGGAGCAUGCGGAUUAAUUCGAUGCAACGCGUAGAACCUUACCUGGGUUUGACAUGGAUCGGGAGUGCUCAGAGAUGGGUGUGCCUCUUUUGGGGUCGGUUCACAGGUGGUGCAUGCCUGUCAUCAGCUCGUGUCGUGAGAUGUUGGGUUAAGUCCCGCAACGAGCGCAACCCUUGUUCACUGUUGCCAGCACGUUAUGGUGGGGACUCAGUGGAGACCGCCGGGGUCAACUCGGAGGAAGGUGGGGAUGACGUCAAGUCCUCAUGCCCCUUAUGUCCAGGGCUUCACGCAUGCUACAAUGGCUGGUACAGAGAGUGGCGAGCCUGUGAGGGUGAGCGAAUCUCGGAAAGCCGGUCUCAGUUCGGAUUGGGGUCUGCAACUCGACCUCAUGAAGUCGGAGUCGCUAGUAAUCGCAGAUCAGCAACGCUGCGGUGAAUACGUUCCCGGG
rnacentral:rRNA from 1 species